rnacentral:rRNA from 1 species
CCUACGGGAGGCAGCAGUGAGGAAUAUUGGUCAAUGGGCGUAAGCCUGAACCAGCCAAGUCGCGUGAGGGAUGAAGGUUCUAUGGAUCGUAAACCUCUUUUAUAAGGGAAUAAAGUGUGGGACGUGUCCUGUUUUGUAUGUCCCUUAUGAAUAAGGAUCGGCUAACUCCGUGCCAGCAGCCGCGGUAAUCCGGGGGAUCCGAGCGUUAUCCGGAUUUAUUGGGUUUAAAGGGUGCGUAGGCGGCCUUUAAGUCUGCGGUGAAAGGCGGUGGCUCAACCAUAGAAUUGCCGUUGAAACUGGGUGGCUUGAGUAUGUGUGAGGCAGGCGGAAUGCGUGGUGUAGCGGUGAAAUGCUUAGAUAUCACGAAGAACCCCGAUUGCGAAGGCAGCCUGCCAAGCCAUGACUGACGCUGAUGCACGAAAGCGUGGGGAGCAAACAGGAUUAGAUACCCGAGUAGUC